CAAUACAGGGGUGCUAAGUCAUUAUAAAAAAAGAUACUUGCCACCCUGAAGGUAAUUACGUAUGAUUUUUAAUAUAUUUUCUCAGAAAAUCAAAUUUUUGGAAAUAUUUAAAUUCAAAGCAUUCUUUUUGCGAUUUUGCAUUCUUUUAACCCAUUUUUCAUUCCAUUCUUUCUCAUUUAAUGUCUUGUUACAUAAAUUUUAAACAUAAUUAAUUGCGUGAGUCAAAAUGUUUAAGAGUAUUCUCUGGUAUCUGAACUACUUUGCAGGAUCAGAUAUAAUACUGUGGAGAGUAAUAUCAGCACUUUUAUAAUUAUGAAAAUGCUUUUAUGUCAGAAGAUACUUAAGCUGAAGAUUCAUGGGUUACAAAAAAUAAACAUUUCAAACUUUAAACUUAUUUUCUGGAAUGAUACUUGCUCUGAAAUAAUAUUCAAAACACUUUUCCGAAAUGCAUCUAGCCACACAGGAGAAUGAGCAUGCAAGGAGGUAGAGGGUCGGUGGUGAAAAAAUUAUAGAUUUCAAAGUUAUUGUUUGAAAUAACCCAAACAAGCAAAACAUUAGUAUUUUUAUCUUGAAAUUCUUGGUGAAUUUUAUGUUCUAGCCCAUAAUAUAUUAGUUUAUUUUAACACAAAAGUUUCUUCCAAAAUGGACAUGUCCAAAAGAUACACCAUGCUGGCGACGGGGGUGGCGGCGGCGGCAGCGAGUUCGGUUGCGCGUGGCGCACCGGGUGGGAGCGGAGACCAGGCCGGGAGCAGGCG
rnacentral:lncRNA from 1 species